ensembl:lncRNA
CUAGAAUCUCAGUGUAAGUUUCUUAUUUAAAUAUCGUGUAUCAUAGGAAUAUGUAUAUAUAUCAUUCAAAGAAGAGAAAACAAAGUUAAUACUAGUAAAAAUCAAUGAACUUUUUUGAGAGGAGUGUGUUUAUAUCUUUUUAAGACAUUUAUAAAACAGUGUUCAGAAAUGGUCAGAUUACUGCCAUGGGUUGAAGAAGUCUAAAAAACCACAGCAAUCUGCAUAAAGAUACUGUGAUACGUUCCGUCUGCCGCUGAAGAAGGUACAAGGAUCUAGGACUCACCUGAGGUUUUCAACAGGCCCAUAUUCCUCAAGAUCACAAACUAAACCAGGGGUGCUAUAGCCCAGACUCCCUACAAAAUCAACUUAUUUGAUGAGUUCAUCUGCAAUGGCAGAAAAACUCUCCAGAGAUGCUGUCUGGACAGCAAAUUUGUGCCUCCAUUCCACCCUAACUCCAUAAUUAUUGGACUCAAAUUACUGACAUCCUUCACAUUUAUUUUGGUGGCAGUGGUUCUAACAUGGUUGGUUGGUUGGACCACCUUAAUUCGGUUUUCCUUUCCUGAAUCUUCUGUGUUACCCAAAGCCUCUCCUUUUUCCAAACUCAGACCUUCAUAUCUGUUGGGUAGAGGUGCUUUGGGAGCAUUUGUCUGAGUAGAAAUGGUGGGCCAGCAUCUCUUGUCUUGACAACAUCGGCCUGUCUCCUCAGUGUUGAAGUCUGG